CGCAUCACCUCUGGUUCUGGCGUUCCCCACGACGCACGUGCUUUGGCUGGGUUUUAUUUAAUCCACAGCACUGAGGAGCCUCGCUUCUUGUUUCUGGCAGCUGGAUUCCACCACUGGUUCCAGGUGGCUGAGAGACUGUAAAGUCAGAGCAGGGAGGAACAUGGGGAGAGAUGGACAGAUGCCCGUUUCCUUAUGAAACCAGGCUAAAAAUAGGUUCCCUAGACUUCCCGAGGAGGAGCUUCCCUGCGGUGAAAGCCAUCUGUUCAAUCCCCUGCACCAGAUACAUCCAGGUUUCCCCUGCUUGUUCUGCUAAACGUGAAAUGUUCCCAUAUCCAGGCCAGACAAAUCAAACCUGAUGACCCACUGAGGAGAGAUUCUCCAACCUUCUCCAACUCACAUCCUCAUGGCUGAGCCACAUUCCUUGAAAAUGCCAUCCCUUCGGUUAUAUGUUUUGCACUGCUUGUGUUCUUGAUGGGAAGAUUUUUAUCUGUAACAAUAACUUGCUUUCUCUGUAGCCCUUUCCUACCC
rnacentral:lncRNA from 1 species